UUAUACCGCGAAACUGCGAAUGGCUCAUUAAAUCAGUUAUCGUCUAUUUGAUAGUACCUUACUACUUGGAUAACCGUGGUAAUUCUAGAGCUAAUACAUGCUGAAAACCCCGACUUCGGAAGGGAUGUAUUUAUUAGAUUAAAAACCAAUGCCCUCCGGGGCUCCCUGGUGAUUCAUAAUAACUGCUCGAAUCGCACGGCCUUGCGCCGGCGAUGGUUCAUUCAAAUCUCUGCCCUAUCAACUUUCGACGGCUGGGUCUUGGCCAGCCAUGGUGACAACGGGUAACGGAGGGUUAGGGCUCGACCCCGGAGAAGGAGCCUGAGAAACGGCUACUACAUCCAAGGAAGGCAGCAGGCGCGCAAAUUACCCAAUCCCGACACGGGGAGGUAGUGACAAUAAAUACUGAUACAGGGCUCUUUUGGGUCUUGUAAUUGGAAUGAGUACAAUUUAAUUCCCUUAACGAGGAACAAUUGGAGGGCAAGUCUGGUGCCAGCAGCCGCGGUAAUUCCAGCUCCAAUAGCGUAUAUUAAAGUUGUUGCAGUUAAAAAGCUCGUAGUUGAACCUUGGGCCUGGCUGGCCGGUCCGCCUCACCGCGUGCACUGGUCCGGCCGGGCCUUUCCCUCUGGGGAGCCGCAUGCCCUUCGCUGGGCGUGUCGGGGAACCAGGACUUUUACUUUGAAAAAAUUAGAGUGUUCAAAGCAGGCUUAUGCUCGGAUACAUUAGCAUGGAAUAAUAGAAUAGGACGCGCGGUUCUAUUUUGUUGGUUUCUAGGACCGCCGUAAUGAUUAAUAGGGACAGUCGGGGGCAUCAGUAUUCAGUUGUCAGAGGUGAAAUUCUUGGAUCUACUGAAGACUAACUACUGCGAAAGCAUUUGCCAAGGAUGUUUUCAUUAAUCAGGAACGAAAGUUAGGGGAUCGAAGACGAUCAGAUACCGUCGUAGUCUUAACCAUAAACUAUGCCGACUAGGGAUCGGACGGUGUUAUUUUUUGACCCGUUCGGCACCUUACACGAAAGUACAAGUUUCUGGGU
rnacentral:rRNA from 1 species